rnacentral:lncRNA from 1 species
CUUUUGUUCAUUCAGACAUACUAGCGAGGGAGCCAAGGGAAUAAUUGGGAGUCGCUGUGAAGCUGCGUCCAAGAGGCAGGAGGCGCUGGUGAUGGAAAAGUGUGGCCGCCUGCAGGAGCACCUGGAGAAGUUUGAGAACAUUCGGCAUCAUCUUCAGCGACUUCCAGCCCAGCAACCAGGGACAGCAGGAAGUUCCAAAUAUCCCAUCCUCCAGCCCCACUCACCAAGCUGCACAUGGAAACAGUGCAAGGUAAAACAGACAAGCUUUUCUUUAAUUCUUUUCCCUAUAGACUAG